rnacentral:rRNA from 1 species
UACAGAGGGUGCAAGCGUUGUUCGGAAUUAUUGGGCGUAAAGGGCGCGUAGGCGGUGCGGUAAGUCUGAUGUGAAAUCUCCGGGCUCAACUCGGAGUCUGCAUCAGAAACUGCCGUGCUCGAGUGUGGGAGAGGUGAGUGGAAUUCCCGGUGUAGCGGUGAAAUACGUAGAUAUCGGGAGGAACACCUGUGGCGAAAGCGGCUCACUGGACCACAACUGACGCUGAGGCGCGAAAGCUAGGGGAGCAAACAGG